rnacentral:rRNA from 1 species
AGAGUUUGAUCCGGCUCAGGAUGAACGCUAGCUACAGGCUUAACACAUGCAAGUCGAGGGGCAUCGCGGGGUAGCAAUACCCUGGCGGCGACCGGCGCACGGGUGAGUAACACGUAUCCAACCUGCCUUCAGCUCGGGGAUAGCCCUCUGAAAGGAGGAUUAAUACCCGAUGUGUUUGGUAUGGGACAUCCCAUUCCAAAUAAAGAUUUAUCGGCUGAUGAUGGGGAUGCGUAUGAUUAGCUUGUUGGCGGGUAACGGCCCACAAGGCGACGAUCAUUAGGGGUCUGAGAGGAAGGUCCCCCACAUAGGAACUGAGACACGGUCCUAACUCCUACGGGAGGCAGCAGUGAGGAAUAUUGGUCAAUGGCCGUAAGGCUGAACCAGCCAAGUAGCGUGAAGGAAUGACUGCCCUACGGGUUGUAAACUUCUUUUACGGGAGGAUAAAGUGUGUCACGUGUGGCAUAUUGCAGGUAUCCCGUGAAUAAGCAUCGGCUAAUUCCGUGCCAGCAGCCGC